CCUACGGGCGGCAGCAGUGGGGAAUAUUGGACAAUGGGGGAAACCCUGAUCCAGCGACGCAGCGUGCGUGAAGAAGUAUUUCGGUACGUAAAGCUCUAUCAGCAGGGAAGAAAAUGACGUUACCUGACUAAGAAGCCCCGGCUAACUACGUGCCCGCAGCCGCGGUAAUACGGAGGGGGCCAGCGUGAUCCGGAUUUACUGGGUGUAAAGGGGGCGUAGACGGCAGCGCAAGCCUGGAGUGAAAUGCCCGGGCCCAACCCCGGAACUGCACUGGAAACUGUGAAGCUGGAGUGCAGGGGAGGUAGGCGGAAUUCCUGGUGUAGCGGUGAAAUGCGUAGAUAUCAGGAGGAACACCGGCGGCGAAGGCGGCUUACUGGAGUGUAACUGACGUUGAGGCUCGAAGGCGUGGGGAGCAAACAGGAUUAGAUACCCGAGUAGUC
rnacentral:rRNA from 1 species